GGGCCCUUAGCUCAAUUGAAUAGAGCAUCUGACUACGAAUUAGAAGGUUACAGGUUUGAGUCCUGUAGGGCCCA
rnacentral:tRNA from 1 species